rnacentral:rRNA from 1 species
UACGUAGGUGGCAAGCGUUAUCCGGAUUUACUGGGUGUAAAGGGCGUGUAGGCGGGUUUGCAAGUCGGGUGUGAAAGAUCCAGGCUUAACUUGGAGAGGUCAUCCGAAACUGCGGAUCUUGAGCGCUGGAGAGGAUAGUGGAAUUCCUGGUGUAGCGGUAAAAUGCGUAGAUAUCAGGAGGAACACCAGUGGCGAAGGCGGCUAUCUGGACAGUAACUGACGCUGAGGCGCGAAAGCGUGGGGAGCAAACAGGAUUAGAUACCCU